GUCAUUUCAAAUAAUGAAAACUACAUUAUAAUCAAUGUAGUUUUUGUUGGAGAAUUAUGCUCACCAUGUGUCCAACUGGAUAACUUAUGUUCAGAAACUUGUUUUGAAGGCACUUCCCUAGCUGGAGGAUGAAGACGUAAAUGCUAUUAGCCACUGGAAUCUCAGCUCUGUGUCUUGAUCACCAGACUUUCAUUUUCAGAUCGAAGUUGGUCUGUGAUGGUCAAAGGAGAAAAGCAACUGAACUUCUCAGUAUGCACUACAUUGGGGCCAAAGGAGGUGAACCAGACCAAGAAGAAGCAAAGAGAAUUGGAUUGUUUCUACUUCGAGUUAUCGGGAAUAAGGCUGCUAUGAACGUGGUUAAAUAUCUGCUUGAGACUCCACUCUCAGUUCUUUGGAGUAUAUGCCUAGAAGUGAUUGCUUGAUCACAUGAGAGCCCUGAGGAAUUCUUCGCUGGAUGAGACCCAAUCAAGUCUUCCCUCAAAGCAAGUAAUCUCAUCUGGACACCCUGAAGACACUGCAUUUCCAGGAAUUGGAUGGACUACUCUAGACCAGAGGGCUUCUACAUCUUCCUGUUGAGACCUUCAGGUGGAGCCAUGGCCUGGCGGUGGGGAUGCUGAAGUGGAGCCUGGUGGGAUGAUAAGAUUCCCAUGGGAACAGGAGUUCUCAGAUUCACGAAGCAGAAAAGCCCUGAGUGGGUAUUCCGGACCAGCAAUGACGAAAAAGUCUCAAAUGUUUGCCAACUGGAUUUUCAUCAGUCUAGGAAGUUAACUUGGACCGUCUUUCCAAAGAUGCAAAUCUGAUCAUGACACCCUCCUUCCUCAAACAGUUCAAUGACCCCUCACAGUCAUCAGGAUAAAGCCCACUGCAAUCUACCUAUCUGACCAGGUGAUUGAAGGAAGGGCGAAGUCAGCUUCCUGAGAAACUUCAAAGCGAAAUGUUGUGGAUCACAUCUCUGAGUAAUCUGAGAUUUCAAGAGCAAGAGGGAGAGGAUUUUAAUCUUCAGGGAAAAGAAAAAAUCAAACAGAUUAAAACUCAAAUCCCUCCAGAGGGAACCACAUAUCAAGGGGAUCAAACAGCACCUGAACCUCAAGGAUACUGUUGUGUUCAGGUCAGGUGUUCAACUCUCAAGCCAGACUCAGCCCCUGAAAGGAAAGCGCUAUAUCCUGUUUUCCUUUGAAUUCUCUGGACUCAGGACAGUACCUGGCGCCAAGGGGGUUUUCAACAAACACGUGAUGAAUGAGU
ensembl:lncRNA